rnacentral:rRNA from 1 species
UACGUAGGGGGCAAGCGUUGUCCGGAAUCAUUGGGCGUAAAGCGCGUGUAGGCGGCUCGGUAAGUCCGCUCUGAAAGUCCAGGGCUCAACCCUGGGAUGCGGGUGGAUACUGCCGGGCUCGAGUCCGGAAGAGGCGAGUGGAAUUCCCGGUGUAGCGGUGAAAUGCGCAGAUAUCGGGAGGAACACCGGUGGCGAAGGCGGUUCUACUGGG